rnacentral:lncRNA from 1 species
UGUCUGAGAGGUGGCCAGAAAGACAUUCUACUUCCUAUUGGUAAAUGUAUGAUUUCACAGUGGUACCCAUGCCUAGAUAUCAAACUCACUGUUAGGAAAGAUAUGUUGCAUAAAUAAUAAUUUCUCAACUAGAUAAAAUUAUUACUUUUCACAAAAAAGUUAUGACACAGUUUAAAAACUUUUUUUCAUUUAGAAAUGAAUUUUACUAAUUAUUAUUUUCUUUUGUGUGUAUCUAUCUAUGUAUCAAUGGUCUUUCAGAGUUAAUCUCUAGAAGUCAAACAUGGGCAGCCCUACAUAAGUUAAAUAACUACCUGGAAUUUUUUAAAUGAACAUGAAAACCAU